CAUGAUUGGGUGGUUUUGCUUUGUGCGCUGCCUAGGUGCCGAGUUUUGCUGGGUGUACGAAAGGUGGACUUGGGCUAAGAGGGCGGAGCGCACAGGUUAGACUUGGGCAAUUUCAGAGCAACUUCGUGGGCACUGAAACCUGAAGUGGCUGCGUUGUGCGGUGUACCAAUGCCCAGUCUGUCCGGGUUAGGACGUGGGCGACGGAUCUGUACCUGUUGACCAAUGAGAACUUGAGAUGCCGUGGGAACCCAGAGAAAACAUGGGUAGGGAGAUCUUCCUGGAAAGGGCUCCUGGCUGGAACCUUCAUCUUGCACUUGACCUUCUUCUGGGACAGCCCAAGGUAUCAAUGAUGGCAGCAGCAUUUCCUGACUUCUGUACACACUGUUCAUCCUUUGCAGUGUCAUGGUCACACACCUGUUGUCUGUAUGUGUGGCUCCACGUUGGUCCAUGUUUUCUUCACCAAUACCUCACUGUCUGGACCACUAUGGCUUUGGAAUAUAUCGUGUGCCCUGGGAGGUGGUUUCCCAUCUUGUUCUCAAGAUUGAUCUGUCCUUGUCCCUGUUACCUCCAAAGUCAAUUAUAGAAGUAAUUUAAGCUCCAUGAAAACUUCAGUGUAUACAUCAUUAAAAUGUACUUGAAAUUUUAUAUGAAGUGGAGAUAACUAGUAACCUUAUGACUUUUUAGUUAUUUGUAAUGAAUGUAUCAUAACUCUCCUUUCAUUUUGGUUUUUAAUAACUAUUAGUGAUGUUUUAUACAUUUAUUCCUAAUGAUAAUGCAUGGUUUUGUAUUUAAACUAAUGUAUCUCAUCAUCUGUUUCCUGUUUAAAUAAAUUUUAAAUCAAAAUUUC
rnacentral:lncRNA from 1 species